rnacentral:rRNA from 1 species
UACAGAGGGUGCAAGCGUUAAUCGGAAUUACUGGGCGUAAAGCGUGCGCAGGCGGUUUUGUAAGUCUGUCGUGAAAUCCCCGGGCUCAACCUGGGAAUUGCGAUGGAGACUGCAAGGCUAGAAUCUGGCAGAGGGGGGUAGAAUUCCACGUGUAGCAGUGAAAUGCGUAGAGAUGUGGAGGAACACCGAUGGCGAAGGCAGCCCCCUGGGUCAAGAUUGACGCUCAUGCACGAAAGCGUGGGGAGCAAACAGG